rnacentral:rRNA from 1 species
GCAUUUCGGCGGCUACACAUGCAAGUCGAACGGCAGCACAGAAGAGCUUGCUCUUUGGGUGGCGAGUGGCGGACGGGUGAGUAAUGUCUGGGAAACUGCCCGAUGGAGGGGGAUAACUACUGGAAACGGUAGCUAAUACCGCAUAACGUCGCAAGACCAAAGUGGGGGACCUUCGGGCCUCACACCAUCGGAUGUGCCCAGAUGGGAUUAGCUAGUAGGUGGGGUAAUGGCUCACCUAGGCGACGAUCCCUAGCUGGUCUGAGAGGAUGACCAGCCACACUGGAACUGAGACACGGUCCAGACUCCUACGGGAGGCAGCAGUGGGGAAUAUUGCACAAUGGGCGCAAGCCUGAUGCAGCCAUGCCGCGUGUAUGAAGAAGGCCUUCGGGUUGUAAAGUACUUUCAGCGGGGAGGAAGGCGGUGAGGUUAAUAACCUUGCCGAUUGACGUUACCCGCAGAAGAAGCACCGGCUAACUCCGUGCCAGCAGCCGCGGUAAUACGGAGGGUGCAAGCGUUAAUCGGAAUUACUGGGCGUAAAGCGCACGCAGGCGGUCUGUUAAGUCAGAUGUGAAAUCCCCGGGCUUAACCUGGGAACUGCAUUUGAAACUGGCAGGCUUGAGUCUCGUAGAGGGGGGUAGAAUUCCAGGUGUAGCGGUGAAAUGCGUAGAGAUCUGGAGGAAUACCGGUGGCGAAGGCGGCCCCCUGGACGAAGACUGACGCUCAGGUGCGAAAGCGUGGGGAGCAAACAGGAUUAGAUACCCUGGUAGUCCACGCCGUAAACGAUGUCGACUUGGAGGUUGUGCCCUUGAGGCGUGGCUUCCGGAGCUAACGCGUUAAGUCGACCGCCUGGGGAGUACGGCCGCAAGGUUAAAACUCAAAUGAAUUGACGGGGGCCCGCACAAGCGGUGGAGCAUGUGGUUUAAUUCGAUGCAACGCGAAGAACCUUACCUGGCCUUGACAUCCAGAGAACUUAGCAGAGAUGCUUUGGUGCCUUCGGGGAACUCUGAGACAGGUGCUGCAUGGCUGUCGUCAGCUCGUGUGUGAAUGUUGGGUUUAAGUCCCGCACGAGCGCACCAUAUCCUUGCUGCUAGCGGCUCGGCGGACUCUAAGGAACUGGCGUUGAUAACCCGAGCAAGUGGGAUGACGUCAGUUCAUCAUGGGCCGUUACGGCCAAG